CGCGUGCGCGGUGAGGUGUUGGGAUCAGUCACGUGGUGCCGGGGGAGUUGGGAGAGCGGUGUGCGGGGGUUGGUGGGUGUGCGAGGGGAAGCGGUGGAACCUGGCGUGCAUCAGGGGCGGCAGGUGGAGAUCUCUGCCUGAGAGAUCACUGGGGCUGUGGAGGAGCUGUUGCUGAGCCACGCUGACCUUGGGAGGUGUUCAGCUGGGGGCUGUAAGGCAGGGACUGCUGUCUCUUGGCUGGGCGAAGGGCGUUCCUGAGCAGCACUGAGCGCUGCCCCUUCCCUCCUGCUGCAUGGGGAGCCUUGCCCUGCUCCCAGUCCCUGUCAGGAGCUCCCUGGGGUCUCGUGCUUUGGCUCCUGUAACACUCGGCUUACAAACCCUACUAGCCGCGAGGCUUUGUGACCUGAAACCAAGUCAGCCACGUAUCUCGUAGGGAGAUGAGCAGCUCUUACAUGCAGCUCUGCUGCUCCUUGCUGUGAAUUUAGUUUCUGGUCUGAGAAAAAUCCAUUUGUAAGGGGAACAAGGUGAGCUGUGUCCAGAAUGGCUUUGUUGUGAAUGAAUUGAGCCAAUCUCAUCGCCAUUUCUGGUAGUGUAACAGCUUGCAGAUAAGGAUAAGGCAACGUGUGUCAUAUACCUUGAUUUUUAGUAGAACUUCUGAUGUUGGCUUGCAGGAUUUUCUAAUAAUAAACUGAAAAACCAGUCUCCGUGAUACUGCUCUAGCGGGGUUGCAGAUCUAGUUGUGGAAAAAUGUACUUGGUAUCAGCACUUGUCUAGGGAACUGCCUUCAGUCCAUUGCUCAUCCGCAGUGAAACAGGCCUUGUAAUUGCUGUAUUUGAAGAUGAGGUCAAGUCUGAGCUUGUAUGAAUGCACUACCAGAGAACCAGAAUGCAGAAAGGGGAACUCUAUGGAUAAAAGUAACAGGUGUAGUACUGUAUGCUUCGUAACUGUGGAGUUGAUGGUAUUGGUCUUAGGAAAAGCAGCUGUCUGUGCUGCAGGAAAGGAUGGAGGGGCUGCUGUGGGCUGUAAGCUGAGUGAGUAUCAACAUCUUGCUGUUGGAGGGGUGAAUGCCAUGCAGGUCUGUGUAAGUAAGAAAACUGCUAAUAAGGCACAGGCAUCCUGCUAUGCUGAGCUGUGCUAAAACAGUAUGUCCAGUACUGGGCUCCACGUGAGAGAAAUUUGUAUGAUUUAGAGAAAAAAGUAAAAGUAAUGAUCAGUCUUUGAACACAUGACUUCUACAGAGCCAGAGAGAACAUAAAGCCACAGACAUGAUUGACAGUGAAAUUCUACACAGGUGUUUUAAACAUUGUCUCAUUCGAGACAUUCCCUAGGAGCCAGCCCUGCUAUUUCCUGAGCAUGUCUUCCACAACCAGCCUGUGCUCUGCUGCCACAGGAGCUGUGCCCACCUCCCAGGCUGUCAGUUUGCUUCUCCUGUGCUUCUCCAUCGUCCUGUUGCAGCACCUCCUGACAUCAGGUUUGGGCAGCAUCCUGGUACACUGUUUUGCUGUCACACUGUGAACAAUCUCAAUAUUUUUUUUCUAUACAAUAACCUUUAUUAAGACUUUGCAUUACAACUAUUAUCAAGAGGAAUUAUUUUCAAGAGAUAGCCCAGAUCCCACCUUCUAUCUUAAAGUCCCGGACCUGUCAGUGCAGGUAUUUCUCAAGUACUGAUGGUGUCUUCUGUCCCUCAAGGUGUACUUGAGAACUGUAUUUUCAGUUUCUCAGAUCUCAUACAGAUAGUUCUUUCAUCUGCAUGUUGUUGCAUGCUUUCUGUCCUCUAGUGUCUUUCCUGUGUAGCUAUCUUCAUUAUCUCAAGCCUGUUAGUGCAGUUUUGCUAUGUACCAUGCCCCCCAGAUGAGAUAGGCUUUUCCUUAAGAGAGAUUCUUCCUGUACAAUUUUGGUGCCCUUGAGAAGAUGCCCUUAUUGAUCAUCCCUUUUGGAAGCAUUAGGAUGCUGCCUAUUAGCCCUUUCUGUUUUACCAUUAGUGAAAAUACCCCUGUAGCAACCAUUUGCCAUUUCAGAACUUAUCUCCAUGCAUAAACAGGUUUGUGGAGUACCUACGUUCAGAACACACCUGUUUUCCUCAUCUCUUUUCUGCACCCUUUUCUGCUCUAAUAAAUUCAUGGCAGGUGGCUUCAAACACGAGCUCUCCAAGUUCAGUAGCUGUUCCUCAGCCACUGACAUGGAGGAAGAGGAUUUUGGCACUUGGGUAUCAACCCAGAAGUGAGUCAUCUAGUUUGUAUAUAGUCUUCCUGUACUUGGACAGGCUUUGGUUAUCCUCCUGUUCCCGGACCAGCAAAUAUUUAAGAAGAGAAAUGUUUGCACUGGAAAAAAGUGUCUUAGGAUAUGUCUGAUGUGAUCCUCCAGCAGAUUAACAAGAUACAGUUCUGUGAUGAAGCAAUGAGCUUGAACAGGAAAUAUAUACAGCUGCUUCAUUUUAAUUCUCAAUGUUUUCAGUUCUACAGCUUCUCCAGCCGUUCUAGUUCUGCACGCUAGUUGGUUUUGUUGUCAUCUUUUAUGGAAGAUCAACUCCUUUAGAGGCUUCUUGUGCAGACUGAAAAUUCUGCAGGAGAACGUCGUGUUUCUAUUUGGAGGAUAGUUCUAUAUCCAUUACUUAAUCUGAAAAGGAACAGCAGGAUAAAUAAUCACAAACUGAUUUGAAGUGUUGAUCAGAAAAAGAAAUAGGAAGAUGAUAUUUACCCCAGGAGUCUGGAGAUGCUCAUGCUCUUGAGUUUUGUUGCAACACAGAAAUAAAGGGGUGCAGAGAGCUGAAGUUUGCUUGUGCUCCAGUGGACUGGGAGUGUCCUACAUGCAUCUUUUCUGCCUAGUCUGGCUUUCCUCAAGUGCAUGUUGUAGUCCUGAUCCUGACGCAGCUCUUUUGCCAUGCAGGAGGCUUCUGAGGAAGAUUGGAUCCAAAUUGAUGGAAGUCAUCCCAACUGACUUGGGCAGCGCUACGUCAGACCAUAAACCAGGCAUUGGCUUUCAUGUCCACCCUUCAGUGGAAGAAUGUGAUCUGGGAGCGUGCAGUGGAUGGAAGGGAUUUGGGAGGGCACCCGCUGCUCUCUGGGCAUUCUGUGCUCCUUCCAAUUCUGUGAAUAGUGUUCUGGGGAGUUGUUCCUGCAACUUUUCUCAUGCUGCAAACAGGUUCAUCUUUGUUCAGAGUGAAGCAGAAUCUGGUGUCCUGUCUCUGGCCCUAAAAUCCAUUUGCCCUUUGUUGGAGCUCUUCGUUGCCCCAUCAUCAGCUUGUCUGUAAGUGGAGGUGCAGGCACCCCAAGGAGCUGGAUGGUCUGAAGCACAAACAUCAACACUUAAUGGUUUUUUUCCAUCUAUAUUUAAGACUUCAAAUGGCUCCGCUCUAAAGCACAGUUGCCCUCCAGCUAACUGAAAAACAUGGAAUCAAUGUUAUCAAUAACUCCGAAGCACACAGAUCAGCAGUGGGUGUCAGAAGGGCUCCAGGUUUCAUGGGACCAUUGAAGAAACAGUCAAUUGCAAAUACAUCUAUGUGUGUUUUAGGCAAAGGUGGUCUCCAGUCCUUUCAAGCAGAAUUUCAAGUUGCUGAGCUCGUCCUCCAACACCACUUGGCACUACUCAGGGCAGCACUUCCAUCACCAGGGUCUGGCUCAGUAGAACAGUCCAUCUUUGCUCUCAUCAUUUGGCUCAGGCACACCUCAGCACCCAACAAAUUCUCUCAUUCCUACUGAAGAGAUGGGAAUCCGAUGUUCAUCCUGCAUACCCUGCUACACCUUCUGCCUCUGGGAGCAGCAAGCCUCCAUUUGCAAGAAGCGUGUUUGCUGCUUUUGUGGAAUUUAUUAAAGAUUUCUUUAAUAAAA